UAUUCUCGGAAAUAACAAACCCAGCUCUGAACGAUACUUGCAUUGUUCAUAUCUAUUUUACAUUUGUAUCACAGGUGGGAGACUUCAUCUUCCACCCGGUUUAACACCAUCACCAGGCUCCAUGGAUUCACUUAUCAGAGUCCACUCCGGUUUGAAGAUAGCUUCCUCCCUCCUGCUCACAAAUCUCAAUGGCCCUGCAAAGGCUCAUGGGAAUUUCUUUCCCUCCUGACUGAAAGAUUAAGAAAGAAACCCAUCAAGUUCCCUAUAAAUACCUUUUUUUUUUUUACUUCCAAAUAUUGUUUUAGCUUUCAAUGCAAAUCUUAAAUGCUUCUUUCUUGUGUGAAUACGUUUAUAUAAAUAAAUACUCGAAGUAAAUAUUCGACAAUAAAACCAAUGAGAGAUUGUCACAUGUCGAAGUAAAUGUUCCACGGUCGGUGUUUCCCUCAACUGCAUAAUCACAUACAAAAUUUCCUCACUGACUACACUCUAUUAUCAUAUAGUUACAUACUCUUCAAAUGGAAGUCAUUUAAUCCGCUUACCUAUGAACUACUAUAUUUCAUUCAAUUUGCCAUAAAGGCAGUACACAGAGGAGUAGCUGAGGGCUGGACAAAGACAUUAAUGACAUGAGAUGAAUGAUGAACGUGAUGAUAUUAAUGGGAGAAGACAGAAGCCGCCCGCCGAACUUUGCAUCUCUAAAACAGUGUUCUUUUAUAAAUUUAUACAUAAAUUAACAAAUAUGAGGCUAUUAACCUCUUACUUUACAAUUUCAAUUUAUCAUGUCUUUCAAAUGAGGCACUUGCCUCUUACACUUUUCUUUUCAUGGGCCACACGCCCUUUCAAUAUGAGGCACUCGUCCUCUUACAUUUUACCGCCCGAAUAGACUCCGUGCUUCACUUAAGCACCUCGCUGGUUCUUCAUCGGGCCACUUCAGUAAGUAGCGGAAUUGCGUCUUUGGUGAAUGAAUUCAUUACCUAGGAACUUCUAAUGAACCUGAUCAUUAAGCGAGCCCUGGCUUGGGCUAAUAUCCCUUUAGUUCUGAAGCCGGCGGGAUUAUCCAGAAAUGAUGGUCUUACACUUUUCCCUGGGUAAGAGUUCAAUAGAAAACAAGAGCACUCAGAGAGUGCAAACCUCUGACAAAGCAACACCAACGUCCUCUCAACGAUUAGCUGGAGAUGAUUUUUAAAAUGAGAAUAUCUGAAAUAAACUCGACUGCUCUCACAAACGAGAAUACUAAAAAUGAACCCGACCGCUCUCAAAAAUUAAGUAAAAAAAAAAAACGAUCGAUCCCAAGAUCUAAUCAGUUCGUGCCAGUCAUGAGGCCAAACAUCCCUGAAAGUUUCAUUCAAAUCCAUUCAGCGGUUCUUGGAGAUAUCUUAUCCACGGACAAAUAAACAAACAAAUACGACUGAAAACAAUACCUCCGCCUUCGCUAAGGUGAAGGUAAUAAUCGGUUUAUGACGAUUUGAAUAUUUUCAAGAUGUUUUGUUCGUUAACCAAUUGUCUAUUUGGAAUGCAACAGAAAAUUCCAGUUUGCAUUAAACUUUUCUUGUAAUGAAUUUGCUAUUUGUUUCAAAGCUGUCAUGGGUUCGAACUGAACAGCAAUUCUUUUCUUGGUUCAAUCAUUGGACUGUAGCCAUACUGGAGCAUCACCUUGAACGGUUUAACGGUGGCUGGCAAUUUUUCUAUCGAAACCUUUUACCGAACAGCUAAGUUACGGAGUCGUAAACAAACCAACGCCAUGAGGAGUCAAAGAAUUGCGAACGCGCUCAUAUAAAUAUGCAUAUAUGCACACACACGACAAGAUUUCACGCAGUUUCCAUCUACCAGAUUCACUCACAAGACAUUGGACGGCCUGGUCCAAACCACGUAGACGUGAAGCGACCUUCUUAACCAUCCAGCCAAACCUGCACCUAAAAACCCUGAAGUAAUUUGAGCAUUCAGCCUUUUGAUAAAGAGUCAGAAGCACUACUGUUGCUUCACAUUGCUCAGUCCGAAAUUCACCAACGCACCAGUUUGGAAUACAUUCAGCAGAAGAUACCUUUAUGUAACGUUAAACCUAUUCCAUAUUUUUUUAAUAUAAUACCUUUCCUAACAAAAUAAAUAUUAUUACAAGAUA